GUUCUGUUCAAAAGUGAAUGGCUCCUUGGCUCUUUGAAGCUCUUGAUUCUCUCUGGAUUACCGAUUCUUUCUCUUCUUUUCAUGGUAAUAAUUUUUUUCCCUUUAAUGAUAUAGAAUUUAGUACUUUGUCUGAAAGGGUCCAAUAUUUUUGUUGUGGGUUUUGUGUAAAUUCUUUGUAAAGACUUCAAUUUUUACUCUGUUAAUCUUUGAGAGCGUUUUGUUAAUAAUUUGCAGUCACUAUGUUAUUUAAGCAGCUUUGAUAUACCUUUGGGGAAUUAGAGAUUCACAUUAUUAUAAUGUAAAUUCUAAAUUAUUGGACUGUAUUAUGGAAGAAAACGAAGUUAAAUUUUUGUAAAUUUUCGUGCAGUGGAUUUUAAAGUGUUGGAUAGUGUUAAGGAAGAAACUGAAGUUAAGAUUUUGUAGAUUUUUGCGCGGUGGAUUGUUCAGUAUUGUACAGAAUUAAGAAUGAAAGAAGAGCUAAUUUCAAUAUAUUGUGAUUUUCAGCCCUCAAGAAGGGUCAAUUCUCUUUAUGAUAAUAUGGGAAUCCGGGCAAUUAAUGUUAGUUGAAGAAUCUGAUAACAUUUUGUCUGGUUUCUCUGUUUUAGGAUCUACAUCCAUGGUAAACUUCGAAAAUCCAGAUUGAUAAAAAAGCAAAUGGCAAUGAUGAUUAGAUGGUUGCUUUCAACAGUCGUAGAAGAAAAGGCGGCUCACGCCUAGGGAUGGCAUUGGGCCCAGUCGAGUCGGCUUGACCCUUUAAUUCACGAGCUCGACUUGGGCUCGUAAUGAGCCGAGCUUGUGGCUCGUGAAAGACGAGCUGAGCUUGAGCUCGGCUUGUUGCUCGGGCUCGGCCCACGAGCUCGUGAGCCCAGCCGAGCUCACGAGCCGCUUGAGAGCUUGUGAUUUUUUUAUUUUUUUAAUUUUUAAUUUUUUUGAUUUUUUUUUUUUGUUGUAAACUUGCACAUUUUUGGCCUUUUUUUUCAUAUUUUUUGACGAGCUUGUGGGCUCAUCAACACGGCUCGUGGGCUCGACGAGCUCGUGGGAUUGAUCCGCCCACGAGCCGAGUUUUGACGAGAUGACGAGUCGCUCGACCCGUUUGACAUCCCCACUCAUGCUCGAUCAGGUUUAACUUCUUGAGAAAAGUUUUGAGGUGAAAAAUAAGCUCGAACCAGAGAGAAAGCUCCAGCUUGCUAAAGAACUUGGACUGUAACCUAGGCAAGUUGCAAUUUGGUUCCAAAACCGUCGAGCCCGGUACAAAACAAAGAACUUGGAGAAAGAGUGUGAUUCUUUAAAAGAAAGGCAGAUUAUGACAGCCAAUUCAAAGAGAAUGAGAAACUGAAAAAUGAGGUACAAUUUAUUGCUUGGUUAAAAAAAUUCAAUUUACACUUUAGUUGUCACUAAUUAUUUUUUUUUGUAAAUAAGUGUGAAUGCUCACGGAGAAGUUGCUUUCGAGGGAUAAAGUUAAACGAAAACCUGAAUCUUUUCAUUUGCAAAUAAUUCUUGAUACGAAAACACAGAACCUUGGGGAAUUUUUUUAUUUAGAUUUUUUUCUUGUUUGGCUAUAAUGAAAAAUUGUAAAUCUGUGUAAAAUCUUAAAAGAUGAGAUCAAUUUAGAAGCACUUUUAUUUUGCUAUGUUUUAAUUUUUGACAAAUUAAAUUGCUUCAUGCUUUAGGGCCUCCACAUUCUUGUACAUAAUAUUCUUUAAUUAGGAAUUGAGCAUAUCUGAAAUACUAGAAGCCAAGAGGAGGCAGUGGCAGUCAACAUGAGUUGGGAAUAGAAACAGCCGGACAGAGGAGAGGGGAGGACUGGCAAUGGUGAGCAGGGAAUGAUAGUUACAAACUAAAUGAUUAACAAAAAGAAAGAAUUGC
rnacentral:lncRNA from 1 species